UUCCCCGCCCACAGAGUGACGCACUUCCUGUGUUCCCGCUCGCGCCGCCUCCUUGGUGUUCCGGUAUCCGUGCGGGAUGGCCCAGAGGACUCAAAGGAAAAGCUGGUCACGGAUCAGAGAAGCUUGGGAGACCAGGCCAGCAAGCGGUGGACGAAGAUCUAGGCAGGAUGUGAUCUGUCCUUAAUUCUCUGUCGUCCUUCUGAAGAUUUGCUCUGUAAAGAGGAAGAAAGAGAGAGCACAAGCUCACAGCUUAUUGGCCCACUCAGGUUAUAUGUCCCACCCUGGUCAGAGCCACAAAGUUAACAAGAAACAAGCGAAGCGUAGCUCGGGCCCACCUGCGCUCAGCACCGCACAAGCCGAGUCCCAGGCACAAGACAGUGAACAACGCGCCAAAACUGAGUUAGCCGGGAAGGUGAGGCAAGAUGCUGAACUGCCCAUGGGACGGAGCACAGACCAGGGGACCCAGCAGUGUCGCCCACCUGUGACCUUCUCGGGCAGCUGGCUCUCGUGCUAAUAGUGGCUCAUUCGGAAACCUGGAACUUCUGGUCAUGAUUGACUUAAGAGAACCGCGGUCUACAGCCUCAGGUAGGAAGGACAUACGCCCACCCGCAUCUUCCCCAAAAAUACCUGGAGUCUAUUGGCCAGGAAGGCUGUGUGAGUGGGAGGUGAGUACCACGGGCACCCCAGCAGUUCAAGCUACAGUGACUGCAUCACAGGCUAGCCCCUUGCUUGGCGGCCUUGAUUUUGCCCAUGAAUCUGCAAUCUGGCAGAUUGUUCCUGCUGCACAUGGCAUCUGGUUAAAGCGAUAGCCAUGUUUGUUUUGCUUAAGACUUUGCAGUUUGUUCACAGUUCAGCAGAUUCAAUUCUGCCUUCCUUGGUGUGAGCUGGGGUAACUCCAGAUCUGGGAGCUGGCAUCAGCCGAAGGCCACUUGCUCUCAUCACCAGGCCUGGGCUGGCAGGAACCAAACAACUGGAACUGCCCGGGCUUCUUGCUCCAUCUCUAUGGGGUCUCUCCAGGGUGCUCUCUCCAGCAUGGGGGCUUCAGGGUAGCUGGACUCUUCCUAUGGUAACUCAGGGAUCCUAAGGCAUGAGUAUUAUCGGUCAGGGCCAAUGCACCAGAGACAAGAGUUGAUGAAGGGAGCAGGUUUAUUCCAGAAACCAGAAUCCUUGGGGAACGAGCAGACUCUUGAGUCCCCAAAGUGCCUUUUCCAGUUUGCAAGUUGUCCAGAGGCUUUUUUUUUUUCAAUUUGACAGAGUUAGACAGUGAGAGAGAGAGAGAGAGAAAGGUCUUCCUUCCGUUGGUUCACCCCCCAAACGGCCACUAUGGCCGGAGCUACGCCAAUCCAAAGCCAGGAGCCAGGUGCUUCUUCCUGGUCCAUCACACGGGUGCAGGUGCCCAAGCACUUGGGCCAUCCUCCAUUGCCCUCCCAGGCCACAGCAGAGAGUUGGACUGGAAGAGGAGCAACCGGUGCCCCAACUGGGACUAGAACCUGGAGUGCCGGUGCGAGGCGCAGCCUAUCCAGUGGCUUUUUUUUUUUUUUUUUUGACAGGCAGAGUUAGACAGUGAGAGAGACAGAGACAGAAAGGUCUUCCUUCCGUUGGUUCACCCCCCAAAUGGCCACUAUGGCCAGCGCUACGCCAAUCCAAAGCCAGGAGCCAGGUGCUUCUUCCUGGUCCGUCACGCAGGUGCAGGUGCCCAAGCACUUGGGCCAUCCUUCACUGCCCUCCCAGGCCACAGC